UCUUGUCUUAGAAGUCUAGUUCACAAAAGAACAUUGCUAAGAGCAAUCAGAGAGAUUGAGAGGCACUGGAGGCCUAGUCCAGCUGCUGGAGUAUCACAUUGAAAGGAAAUAUGGCAGCCAGGUGGUCCCAGAGAAAUAUUUCUUCUCCACUUGUGAAAAAGACAAACGUGAUCUCAAAGAUAGGGGGAAAUGUCACUCUCUCUUGUUGGGCAGACUUCCAAUUAGAAAGUUUCCAUGUCUCUUGGUAUCUCCUCAAUCAGCAUGGAUCACACACUAUGGUAUUUAGUUAUUCUUCUGAAGAUGGGUACAUAGAGGUCCAGUCUGAGGAGUUCCAGAAACGUACCUCCCUCUUCAUCAGGCCAAAGGAGGUGGUGCUGCAUUUGAGAAAUGUGAAACUGCAAGACAGUGGGACAUACAAAUGUAUCCUGAAGGAUAACCAACAAUCGGUAGAGAGAUAUGUGAUUCUCCAAGUGACAGACCCAAAAGACGGUGAUGACUCUGUGGUUAUUUAUACAAUGGUGGGGUUCAUCUUGGCAGGCCUGGUGGCGUGGAUGAUUUCCUUCUGCAUUUUAUGUAAGAGGGGAGACCUGCAAUGCUCCAGAAACUGGGACCAACAAAUAUGACACAAAAGGGGACUGGUGACAAAUGGACCUGUUUGGUAGCUCAAUACUCUAACUUUUCUCUAUAGGUCUGCAUCAGACCUGAGGCAAAAAUGUGAAUAAAUGGUUUGCCUUAAACGAUGCCAGCUCUCUGUUUUGUAUUGGUUCCUCCUUCCCUUCCCUAGUGUCCAAUCCCUUAUUUCCAGGAAAAACAUGUUAUUAAGAAAAAAUAUGAUAUUAAUCAUUUGCAUUUUAGUGUAGUUAGUUACUUCUCUAAGAGGAUUAUUUGUUUUGUUUUCAUUUUUAUUUCUUCCAAUUAUUAUAUAAAAACAAUUUUAAAUAUUUGUUUUAAAUUCUUUCUCUCCUUUCUUCCACUCUGGCUCCUUGAGAAAACAAGCAAUUUGACAUUGAUUAUAGCAUGCAAAAUAUAUUUUCAUGUUAGUUAUAUUGCAAAAAAGUAAGAAAAAACCAUAAAAAGAAAGUAAAAUAAAAUAUGCUUCAAUUUUUA
rnacentral:lncRNA from 1 species